UACGGAGGGAGCUAGCGUUGUUCGGAAUUACUGGGCGUAAAGCGCGCGUAGGCGGCUUUGUAAGUUAGAGGUGAAAGCCCGGGGCUCAACCCCGGAACUGCCUUUAAAACUGCAUCGCUUGAAUCCGGGAGAGGUGAGUGGAAUUCCGAGUGUAGAGGUGAAAUUCGUAGAUAUUCGGAAGAACACCAGUGGCGAAGGCGGCUCACUGGACCGGCAUUGACGCUGAGGCGCGAAAGCGUGGGGAGCAAACAGG
rnacentral:rRNA from 1 species